GAAGACUAAAUGAAUGCCUGGCAAACACAUAGUGAGCGCUCUGUGAAUGCUAGCUCCCGUCAUCACUGUCAUUGAAUCUAAACAGCGCUAAGUGUUUGUAGAAUGAACGAAUCAGAGAUCAUCCAGAUUGAGAAGUAGCAGAUAUGAAGUGACAACCACAUUACUGUACAUGGAGUUAUUUACAGGCCAAGAUGAUUGGUUUCCUGAUAAUCAUUUCAUAAGGAUCAGGAUGGAGGUUCAGUUUUCAAGUCGACUAAAUUUGCUUUCGAUGCCCUUGCCUCAGUGUGGGUUGAGAGCUGCAGAAUCAUCUGGGAAACCUGGCCACUCUAAACAU